UAACCUGGUUGAUCCUGCCAGUUGAUCAUAUUCUUAGAUCAAAGACUAAGCCAUGCAUGUCCAAGACUAAACAAGUUGUCAGUGAAUCUGCGAAUGGCUCAAUAAACGAAUCAUAACCUAUCCGAGCUCAAUGUACAAUUGGAUAACCGUUGUAAUUCAAGGGCUAAUCAUGCAUCAAAAGGGGUUCCUUUGG
rnacentral:rRNA from 1 species